GCGGAAGUAGCUCAUCCGGUAGAGUGACAGCUUCCCAAGCUGUAGGUGGCGGGUUCGAGUCCCGUCUUCCGCUCCA
rnacentral:tRNA from 1 species